GAUGAACGCUGGCGGCGUGCUUAACACAUGCAAGUCGAACGGAAAGGCUCCUGCUUGCAGGGGUACUCGAGUGGCGAACGGGUGAGUAACACGUGGGUGAUCUGCCCUGCACUUCGGGAUAAGCCUGGGAAACUGGGUCUAAUACCGGAUAGGACCACAUUUUGGAUGGUGUGGUGGAAAGUUUUUCGGUGUGGGAUGAGCUCGCGGCCUAUCAGCUUGUUGGUGGGGUAAUGGCCUACCAAGGCGUCGACGGGUAGCCGGCCUGAGAGGGUGUACGGCCAGAUGGGGAGGGAGAGAGGGCACAGACUCCUGGGGGGGGAGGGGGGGGGGAAGUUGGAAGAGUGGGCGAAGGCUGAAGCAGCCGGCGCGGGGGGGGGGAGGGCGGCCUGGGGGUUGAAAACGCUUUUCGCGGGGAACGAAGCGCAGGAGAGGGGACCGGGAAAAAAGACCCGGGCUAACUCCGUG
rnacentral:rRNA from 1 species